CGCGGCCUAUCAGCUUGUUGGUGAGGUAACGGCUCACCAAGGCAUCGACGGGUAGCUGGUCUGAGAGGACGAUCAGCCACACUGGGACUGAGACACGGCCCAGACUCCUACGGGAGGCAGCAGUAGGGAAUCUUGCGCAAUGGGCGAAAGCCUGACGCAGCAACGCCGCGUGGGGGAUGAAUGCCUUCGGGUUGUAAACCCCUUUCAGCAGGGACGAAAAUGACGGUACCUGCAGAAGAAGCUCCGGCCAACUACGUGCCAGCAGCCGCGGUAAUACGUAGGGAGCGAGCGUUGUCCGGAAUUAUUGGGCGUAAAGAGCUCGUAGGCGGUUCAGUAAGUCGGGUGUGAAAACUCAAGGCUCAACCUUGAGACGCCACUCGAUACUGCUGUGACUUGAGUCCGGUAGAGGAGUGUGGAAUUCCUGGUGUAGCGGUGAAAUGCGCAGAUAUCAGGAGGAACACCGGCGGCGAAGGCGGCACUCUGGGCCGGUACUGACGCUGAGGAGCGAAAGCAUGGGGAGCAAACAGGAUUAGAUACCCUGGUAGUCCAUGCCGUAAACGUUGGGCACUAGGUAUGGGAUCAUAUCAACGGAUUCCGUGCCGUAGCUAACGCAUUAAGUGCCCCGCCUGGGGAGUACGG
rnacentral:rRNA from 1 species